rnacentral:tRNA from 1 species
GGGCCCGUGGUGAACUGGCAUCACACGAUCAUGGCAUGAUUGGGUAAGGGGUUCGAUUCCCCUCGGGUCCA